rnacentral:lncRNA from 1 species
AUUUUUACUGUAUGUUUCUAAAUGAACUGAUUAACAUUCACCCACUCAAAACCUAUUGUGAUUUCUUUGUUCCCUAUAAAAAUCAAUAUCAUUCUCCUCUGGUUUCUCUAGGUUUCUACACAAACUCUUUGAUUCUGUUGAAUAAAUGUUUUUUGAAUCUUUUUUCACACUCCCAUAUCUAAGUUUAAGCACUUAUCAAAACUUAAUAAGCAACUAUAACUUCCUCUUGAAUCUUCUCUCUCCUAAAUCCAUUCAAUGUCUCCUCUAAUGUCACCAGUACACACUACCCAAAAAGCAAAUUUUCCAGUUAACCAUGUGUUCUUAUGUUUUCAGCUCCUAGCACUUACUCCAGAGGCUGCUUUUGGGCAACAGGCUUGAACAAUGGGAACCCGAGUAAGAUAGAAGGGCUCAGUGACCUCAAACCCCUGGUUGAACACAAUCUCAUUAAGUGACCCAUCCUGAAAUCACCAUAGAUCCUAACAAAUCAAUGAGCUAUGUACAACUAAGCGCAGUUACCAGAAAAGGGAAAACUCAAUAUACCUCCAUACCUCUUCACCUUCCCACUUUAAAUACAACCCCCAUCCACUGCCUCAUGGCAGAUAGUCCCUCCUUUGCUGUCUUGGCCACCACUCCAUUGUUGCAUAUUCAUUAAGAUUCUAUCUCCUUUGUUCUGCCUUGAGUGAAUUCUUUCACUACCCAAGUUACCAGCUUCCACUAGAUUGGGUCACUCCAUAUUUUGGGGCCCAAUUUGAUAGGUCAGACACUCACUAUAUUCACCACACUACACUACUUUUUUUUUCCUGCUUACCUUAUUAGAUAGUAAUGCUCAGUGUGUCACCCACCUUUCCAGUGACCCACCUAGCCCAGGGCAUGUAAUGUACAAAUAAUACUAUAGCAAAGAUGUCUGGCUGUCUACAGAAUUUGUGCUUCCCCUUCCACGGUGUUGAAUUAGUGCGAGGAAGCAGCCACUCGCCUGUGGGCUUCAUUUCCAAGCUGUCCUAUUAUGUGACUACAGAGGAACAAAAGCUAAAAGAUGGAAAAACUCUAUCCCUGAAAGCACAAAUUGGAGGGGAGAUUCUAUCCUGCAAGAAGCACAUUCACUGGGAACAUGAAUGAUUGAAUAACUUUCUGUUGCAUUAAGACAUAUUUGUUUAAGAAGUCUGAAGUCCAUUUGGUUCUUGGUGCUCAAAGUUUGAGCCAUGGACCAAUUGAGUCAACAUCACCUGGAGCUUGUUGGAAAUGCAAAAUUUCAAGUCUCACCCUAGCUGAUUUGAAUACAUGUUAAAAUUUGAGAAUCACUGCUCUUGGUAAGAAAGAAGAAAUAAUGCAUUCAUGACUUCAAAAGGAUUGUACUACUAUGAAAAAACUUUUUUAUUCCAGCUUAAAUAAAAUAUUUCCUGAAAUUAGGACUUUUGUGAGU